ensembl:lncRNA
CGCCGGCCGAGCCCCGGAGAGCGCCUCGGGCGGGGGGCCGGCUGGCGCGCGCCGGACGUUUCGCUCGCAUCUCGCCGGGAGCGAAGCGUUUCAGAGGUCGGGUGAGGCUGCCCUCUCGACUCUGCCUUUCUAGAUAGCCGCGGUCCGUGCUACGCCCCGGACAGGUAUGCGCGAGGGGGUGACGGAACCUUUCCCGAACACGGUCGAGGUGCCGCCUCCCCUGCCCGUGCGGGGCAGCUGCUCUCCCCUCGCUGCGCCGCUCUCCUCGCAGCCCCGCCGGGACGCCCCGACCGCCGUGGCCCCGAGCCGCCCGCUGGGCGAGCCCGGAGCCGCCGCCUCGGCGCACCUGCCCGGCGGGCAACGCGAGCGGCGAGAGCCGGACGGCCUCGGGCUUUGCCCCGUCCCCGCCGAGCCGCCGUCGCGCUGCCUGCCCCGCGGGCCGUGCUGCGAAGCAGAAGUGCACCGAACGAGAGGCUGGGCUCCUUCCUCCGGGGGAGGAACGGGGGAAAAUAGGUGCUCGAGAAAGGGACGGUGACGCCGGCGGAGCCGCGCGUCGUGACACAUCGCGGUGGCUGCUCUUAGGGAGCUCGUAAGGCGGCUCGGCUCCAGAGUACAAACGUGUCCCCGACCGGCAGAAUUCGAAACUGAAUCUAACUCUUGUGAAGAUAAGGCAGGAUUUCGUGUCACGGGCAUUGCUUAGAUUCAAUUUAAAUCUCCUGUUCCAGUAAAAAGCCACACACUUCCCCAAACGCUGGAAAAUCCCUCAUUAAAGUCCUUGGCCAAAAGGGAAUUGCAUUUUGUAUACUCUUAGGCAAACAGUGCUGAAAGAAUGCUACUUGGUUUAGGAAUACCAGUAAUCCAAGUCACGUGUGAGUGCCAUGCUGAUUACAAUACCAUUGUAGUGACACAAAGUCAGCUCAUUCAGCCUCUCGCGGUGGCAAACGUCGGCACAGAAUGAUCAGACAAGAGGCGGGUUUUUUUGCCGGUGAGAUUUGUGCGAGAGCUUCGGCAGGUACAGCCGGCUUCAGAGCUAACACAAACCACGUCCUCCGUUCGGAUGCUCGUUUUGUCCUUCCUAAGCCCUUGCAGUAAUACACGGUUUGAAAACGAGCAGUAAGCACCGCAUUUGUGCUGCGAGGUAGCAGCGGGGUCUGCUUUGUAAAAAUAACUUUGAAAAUAGUUAUUUACAUUACAAAAAAAGCUCGCACAGAACGGUCCGUGCGGAUAUUUUUUUUGCAAAAUACUAUUCGGAGGCGAUGGCACACAGUUCAGCAGGACUGGGCUCUUCUCAGAAGGGUCGGCUCUCCUCCAGGUGCUGCCUCGCAGAGAAGCUGGCCUGGAGAGACACCCGGCUCUUAGGCUUGUUUACUGAUUAGCUUGGGCACGUCAUUCACCCUCUCAGUGUUGCUGUAUGUACAGACUUCACAGCAUGGAGCUGCUUCUCUAAGCAGGUUUUGAAGAUCGGUCGUUCUUUUGUACAACGUUUUGUUCAUGCUGUAUUUUGUUCCAAAAGGAAAGGUCUGAAAUCUGUGGGCAUCAGCUGGGAAUCGGUUUGAGACAAAUACUCUCUGCUGAUUAUAGAAGAAAAAAAAAUGUUACUUGAAGCCAACGGGAGUGCUUUUGUACGUUUCAGCUGAGGUUGAUUCAAACUUUACUGAAUUCAUAUGCAAUGAGUAUGACUGUACUUGAUUGUACCUCAGGCUGUAUGAGAUGAGCACAAAGAUGAUACUAACAGAAGAAUGGCAUCCUAUGAAGGGUGUAAAAACCAGUCCAGUUCCACACACAAAAAGGCCUUGCUGAUACUGCACCUUAGGGCACCUUAGUCAGCUUUAUCUGUGCCAAGGGACAAUUCCAUCUCCAGUAGUCAGACUGGAGACGUGAUGCUUUUGGUGAGCCUUAUGUCUGAUAGGUUUGAGCCAACAGCAAACGAAGCCUGCUAAAUGAGAGUGGGAUGCAUAUUGACAGGGGAAAGCUGCUCAGGGUCGUGGCUGCUUUCCUGUUCCGGCAAGAGGUGCCACAAAACUGUUGGAUGACACUGGAUGAAGGGACUGCAGGCUGAAUGUGACCUUUGUAUUUCCUGAAGGAGUUGACUGUACAAGGUGUAAAUCUUUCUACGUGGCAUCUGACUCAACAACAUUAAACUGUGAAGCUGAGUUCUCCAGGACUGCAGCCCUUCUCUGAAGAGGUACAAGCAAAAACACCGAUGAUUCUCAAGGCUUCCUGACCGAUUUGUGUCUGGGUUAGCAGCAAGGCAUUGCAUUGCUGUGGUGUCUUGGCUACGUAGGAGGUGUGAGUACUUAUUGCAUGCUUGAAACAAACAGAAAUGUCUCUAUGACACUGCUAGUGACUGUUUGCUGGAUCCUGCGGGAUGGUGGACAGCCAGGAGCAAACUCCAUGAACUUGCUGAGUUUCCACGUGCACCACAGCUGCCGCGGCUCCUCGCUGUAGUGGAACCGAUGCCCUUCGUGUUGUUUGUUCUCUCAGUGCUGUCAAGCAGGACGUACGUGGGACCUUAUCAUAUCGUUUUGGCAGGCUCUCCGCCAGUUACUGCUGACAGACACCCGUUUAUCAGCCGCAUCUCUGAGACAAGGCGGCCGGCCCGGCUUUCGAGAGUAAAGAGUCCAAACGGUGCCAGCCUCGUCUGCGCGUUAUAAAUAGAAGUACGGUAUCUGCCGAGCGCUCGACGCACCGCUAGGCACGGCAGGCAGGCAGGCAGUGCGGGCUGGAGGCCGGGCAGCGGCGGGGCGCGGCGUGAGAGCCUGCUCGGGGCUCGCUUUGCCCCCGCCCGGCGGCCGGUGCGGGCAGCGGAGGGGUCACAGCGAG